UCCCUGGUGGCUAAGAUGGUAAAGAAUCUGCCUGCAAUGCAGGAGACCGAGGUUUAGUCCCUGGCUUGAGAA
rnacentral:tRNA from 1 species